UCAUGAAUAAGAGACUAUGAAGCUUGCACGUCAGAUCUUCCUCAAUUAAUCCACCAUUAGCAUGUUUGGGAUCCACUACUGGAUGGGUAACAGCAGCUUUGGUGACUGUAUGCUGUCCAUGGCCAAUUAUGCUCUGCUAAAAAUGAACUCUUUGCAGACCAACCUUCUUGAGCUGUCAGUGUUUUCCGUUUUCUUAUUUUAACGUUUGUGUAUAGUGGCAGGCGACAGAUGGUGUAGAUCAGAUCGAUUUGAUUGCAUUAGAUGAUUUUUUCCCUCCCCACUCCUUUCUGGAAGCUCGCAUCAGCUGAAGGCUAUCGCCUGGGACUCAGAAGCAUGAGCAAGCCGCCGCCACGCGAAGGCACUGGGGCACAGCCAGCGAAAGGCACCGAGGUCCCUUCCCAGGGCUUGUUAACACAGUAACCCGGCACACGGCGGAAAUCAGCUUUCACUGCCCAAAGCCUAUCCCCAAAACACAUCAGAUGACUCCCUGGCUUUUACACACAGUUGGAGUUCUGCUUGAAACCUGGAUUUAGAGGGGAUCUAUUGCUGGCAGUGACACUCAAUCAAGGGACCAAGAGUGAGUUGAUGGACUACAGUGGGAUAUGAAGUCAAGCAAGUACGGAGGAAGAAAUUAGGAGAGCAGCAGAAAUGGAAAUACAUCAUUCGGGUUGGAUUUGUGAAAGAAGCAUCUGAGCAACUCUUUGGAUUCUUCUUUAGGGACAUAGAGUUAUGGAUUUAUUGACCGGAUCAAGUCCAACGGCAGCAGCAGAAGCAGGAGGAGGAAGAAGAGAAGGAGCAGCAGGAGCAGCAACAGCAACAGCAGCAACAGCAGCUUCAUCUUUCUGACUCUCUUCGGUGACGGGUAUUCUUGGGUGGAUAAUACGGAUUACGUUGUUAUUGCUUAAGAAUACGCGUAGUCGAGGAGAGUACCUGCGGCAAGCAGGCAGCAUCCUCCCCCUCCCAGAUCACGAACUGGCCUCUAAACUACUGUGGUUAUCAAGGUAGCAUCUUUUACUUAUCUUUUCCUACUAUCUAUUUUAUUUUGCCCUCUCCUCAGUGUAAGUGAACAAAAAGUUUCUUCCCACCACAGUAGUGCUCUGUCAGUCACAGACUUUGUCCCCUGAGUGUGGGGUGGGUGAAUUCAGGGUGGAGAAGGCGAGAGCUAAGAGAGAAGUGGUAUCAUGUGGACAAGUGUCCAUCUCAGCCACAGGGAUAUAAGGUGUGUCGAACCAGUGCAUGUGGCACAAUAUUGAGGCACUUCUCUACCUGUUUUCCUUUCCUGAAAGUUGUGAAUUAUUUAAAAAAAAAUUAAUCUGUGGUAACUUGGCAGAUGUGGAGAGUUUUGCAUAGGAGAGAAGUGGCAAGGAAUCUUUGGGGAGAAGGAUCCCUCUCUCAGCAGUGCUGUAUAGUUUUGUUACUUCGUGAAUCUGGUGCCAAGAGGCUGCAAGGAAGCUGUCCUUCUGUCGCCCCACCCCCUAGCUGUGUCACUCAGGCAGCCAGACAUGGCGGCCGGGGCUGAGGAUGGGAAGGGAGGAGGAGUAGAGGUGGGAGGAGACGGAGGCUGUGUUGGAGGAGCAGGGUUGGGGCGUUGACGCCCCUUGCAACUUCCAGAUGGAAGCUUAUCGGUUUGGAUUCCCCGGGAAGGGGUGGAGGCACAGAAUAAUUAACUGGAUUGGCUAUGUUGCGACACAAGAUUGAAACCCUGCUUGUAAAAGAUGGGGUCAAGAAGGAAAGGCCAGGCGAUGGCUGCUCACUUUGCCAUUUUUUUUGAGACUCCUCACUCUUCAACUCGUGUUAUCUUCUUUGCCCCUCGGAAUGGGAUUAAAGUGUUAAUAAAACACGUGUAAGGAUUCCCGCCCCCACCCCUUAUUUCCCCACCCACCCCUAGUCCCCAACCUAUGGCCAAUGCCUAGAGAUUGGAAGGAUGGACUUUCUGUACCCCACUUGACUCCCGGCUCUCUCUCUCUCUUUUUUUUAAUUACUUUUGAAAGUGGUGGCGGGGGAUCGUGGAUUCCCUCGCUUCUUUAAGCAGAAAAGUACCCAAGCCCCCACCGAAACCUCAGGCGGGCGUUUGUAGCUGCGUUGGGACUUUGUGGGAGUUGGCUCAGACGGAGGUGCUGAUGGAAGACAUUUCAGCAGGUGGCCGAAAGCAGUGGACAGGGGUGGUGGCAGCCUCGGAGUGGAGCGGUUCCCACCCAGCUUGAACCGCUCUCUCUCUUAAACUCUACGAUCCUCUCUUACAUACUCAAACAUGCUGAGAGCCGUGACUAUUCCGAAGGCGAAAGGAAAUGGCUGAAAACUGGAAGGAUAAAACCCCUCCAGUUCAACUUGGAUAACGACCCCGCUUUGCUCCUCGAGGAGUGUCCGGGGCUUUAAGCGAAAGCAGCGAGGACUGGGUUUUGUGUGUGUGUGUGUGUUGUGGUGGUUGCUAGCUCCCUUUCUUUGGACCGGAGCCUCUAUGGCAGCGGCUACGAUUUGAAUUCCUAUGAAAUUAAAGCGUCUGCCUUCCCGGACAGCCAAAGCCAAGAAGCGUUUCAGACACCAUUGUUCCCCGAGCACAAAUAAGUCUUUUCCAGGGCUGAAGGACUGCCUCUCCAGCAAGUUGGUCUUUCUUUCCCACCGAGUACGAUCUUGGGCCCUGUGGGAGUUCAGGGCGAGGCGCUGUCCGAUUUAGACACACUCUUCUGCGCUAUCUUAGCCAUUCUCACUUUACUUCAGUACCUUGCUGAAGAAAAAAUAACUCCAACGAACCCAUGGAAUAGAGGAAGAACUUUAGAAUCUGGUGAGGGGUAAUUCUCUGAGCCCUUCUUCUACUUCCUCCACCCUCAUUCCAUCCCUUCCCAGAUCCACAAUGGAAACCUUUCCCCCUCAACCUCCCCACACACUUGGAAACAUUUUUCUUUCUUCAGGGUCACAUCACAUAAAAGGCCUUUGACCUAUGAGUGUGGUGGGGUGGGUGAAUUAAGGAAGGCUUAAAUGCCAAAAGGUUUACAGUGUAGGUGGGGUGAAGCUCUUCUGAGAAGCCUCUUUGGGAGAUUCCAUUUUAGGGAUGUUCUGAAGGUAGAAGGAAUACAGAAUCCUGACAUCCUGCUUUUCUUCAAAACAUAAAAGCAUAUCCAAUUCGUGUUUCUUUUUCUCAUCAUUCUAUAUAUUGUCAUUAGCCUUUCGUGGGGUCCACCAGUCAGGAGUCAGGGCCAUCCGGUAACAGUGAAUGGUCAGCAAGAUACUAACUUCUGGUAUUUUUUUUUUAAUUUGUAGACAUAACAUAGCAUGGAAAGCAAUCAGAUCCAGAUAGUUUAACUUACAUGGUGAUCUCUGGAAAGAUAUAUUGGUCUGAGAUAGAUUGUUGUAUAUGAGUUUUGAAAAACAGAAAGCAGACUAGGAUAUCAUUAAGGAUGGGCUUUCUUAUCUUUAAAAUAUAUCAUGCUGGUGUACUUACUGAGAGAUGGAAGCUUCCUGUAAAAAAAAAAAAAAAAAAAAGUAAGUGGAUAGAUGUUACGCAAUUCUAGAAUUAAUAAAGCUAGAACUGCCAGAAACUUUAGUGGUCAUCUUCAUUGUGUAGAUAAGGAAACCGAGGCCCAUGGAAAGUAAAAAUCCAUAAUAAUCCUGUACUUCAAUUUAACAUUUGAAAUAUUUCAGUUAGAAAUGCAUCAUAAGAGUUUUGAAACUAAGUAUUGUGAAUGUCUGUCAGAGGUAAAGUCAGUUCCAAAGAAUUGUAGUCUACAAAGAGAUUUGUAUUUUCAUGGAAAUGGUGAUCUAAGAUAAUUGUAUUACUUUCCUCCUUUUGCUGAAUCCUUACCCAUUAGAUGUCAGCCUCAUUGUAGUGCUUCCUAUCUAAGUUGGAGGGAUUUUAUUUUUACCAAGAUAGGACGUUUAUAAGAUAUGGAAGAAAAAAAUAUAUCACAAUUUUAUUAAAUUGAAAUCACCAUACUUAAUUGCUCUUUGUACCAGUUUUUUUUUUUUUUUUCUAUUCAGAAAAUAGAAUUUUAAAUUACGUCACCAACAGUCUGUCUGGCUUGGUCAGGUUAGUAACCAUAGCCAGAGCUAAAGAAUUUCAGAGUUUCUUGUUUUCUUUCUUUCAUCCUAAAUUUAAGUGAUCUUAAGUAUUCGUAUUAGGUGGGAAUUUUUUCUUACCAAAUCCAAACAUCAAGAAAGUGAGAAAUUUUUUUUUCCUUAAAAGAAUUAAUUUUUUUUAAUAUAUAUUUUUGAGCCAUGACUUGACAGUUGUUAUUUCUUUGGCUAUUCACCUAAUAGUGGUACUAUAUUAGUCACUUUGGUCAGGCCUAAAUACUCCACCUUCUCUUCAUAAAAUAUAUGGUUUAUAAUGGAAGUUUUAAUAGUUUCUAGAGAAAUUUACAUGAUAUUUAGGAAUGCUGAAUUUUGUGUUCUGAUAUUUAUUAAUGGUGUGAAAAAAUUCUAUCCUAGUUAAUGAUUGGCUACUGAUUACACUUGGUAAGGGGUUCCUGUGAAAGAUACAGGUCAGAUAAUUGGAAUUCUUCACACUUGUAAAUAUGCUCUGAUCAUUUCCUUUGAGAAGAAUCCAAGAAAAUUGUGGAAUGUGGUUUUAAGGCUUCAUUUUUGUUCACGACACACCCUAUUUUCAGGAUUCAGGAUCCAGCAAGGCUAACUGAGUGUAUUUUCUCAAAGACUAACACUGUCCUGUUAGAACAACAGAUCUUCACCAGAGGCUGCUGUUAGCUCUUAAAUAGAUAAAAAACAUUGUCUUUUCUUCUUCUUCUUCUUCUUCUUCUUCUUCUUCUUCUUCUUCUUCUUCUUCUUCUUCUUCUUCUUCUUCUUCUUC